rnacentral:rRNA from 1 species
AGGACGAACGCUGGCGGCGUGCUUAACACAUGCAAGUCGAACGAGGCCCUGCCUUCGGGCAGGUGACCUAGUGGCGAACGGGUGAGUAACACGUGGGCAACCUACCCUCAGCUCUGGGAUAACCCCGGGAAACCGGAGCUAAUACCGGAUAUGACCUGGAACGACAUCGUUCUUGGUGGAAAGUUUUUCGGCUGAGGAUGGGCCCGCGGCCUAUCAGCUUGUUGGUGGGGUAAUGGCCUACCAAGGCGACGACGGGUAGCCGGCCUGAGAGGGCGAUCGGCCACACUGGGACUGAGACACGGCCCAGACUCCUACGGGAGGCAGCAGUGGGGAAUAUUGCGCAAUGGGCGAAAGCCUGACGCAGCGACGCCGCGUGAGGGAUGAAGGCUUUCGGGUUGUAAACCUCUUUCAGCAGGGACGAAGCGAAGGUGACGGUACCUGCAGAAGAAGCACCGGCCAACUACGCGCCAGCAGCCG